AUGCCUCAACAUGAAAAGAAACUUCUCCAUAGAAUUGAAAAAAUAUAAAAUAAUAUUAAUAUAUAUAAAAAAAAUAAACAUGAUAUUUGGGGAAAAAGUUCAAAGAUGCUUUAAGUUCAAAAUUCAAAUACAUUCAAGUUCAAAUAAUUGCAAUUCUCUAGUAAUCUAAUCUGAAUAAUUCGAAAACUUAUCCAUAUGGUACCUAUCCGAGAGUGUAACAAAAGCUUUGCAGUUAACUUGUUUGGCCUUUGACGCUGAUUAAUGGCCAAAUGGAGAAGUUUGGCAGGAAAAAAUGGCUAAAAUAAAAACUGCAGAAAAGCCCAAAUAAAAAUAUGGCAUUUCUAAUUUAACAACUGCGCUUCAAAUAAAAAUUGCGUUUUUUGCCGACUGCUGCUAUUUAA